rnacentral:rRNA from 1 species
GAUGAACGCUGGCGGCGUGCUUAACACAUGCAAGUCGAGGGGCAGCGGUGGUGAAGGCUUGCCUUUACCAGCCGGCGACCGGCGCACGGGUGAGUAACACGUAUGCAACCUGCCUGCCACAGCCGGAUAAUCGGGAGAAAUCCCGUCUAAUACGGCAUAAUGCACCUAUGGGACAUCCUGUUGGUGCCAAAGGUUAAUUCCGGUGGCGGAUGGGCAUGCGUCGCAUUAGUUAGUUGGCGGUGUAACGGACCACCAAGACGACGAUGCGUAGGGGUUCUGAGAGGAAGGUCCCCCACACUGGUACUGAGACACGGACCAG